GCGGGCGUAGGCUCAAUGGUAGAGCCUUCAGUCUUCCAAACUGACUACGCGGGUUCGAUUCCCGUCGCCCGCUCC
rnacentral:tRNA from 1 species